rnacentral:rRNA from 1 species
GAUGAACGCUGGCGGCGUGCCUAAUACAUGCAAGUCGAGCGAACAGACGAGGAGCUUGCUCCUUCGACGUUAGCGGCGGACGGGUGAGUAACACGUAGGUAACCUACCUAUAAGACUGGGAUAACUUCGGGAAACCGGAGCUAAUACCGGAUAAUAUUUCGAACCGCAUGGUUCGAUAGUGAAAGAUGGCUUUGCUGGCAGUUAUAGAUGGACCUGCGCCGUAUUAGCUAGUUGGGAAGGUAACGGCUUACCAUGGCUACGAUGGGUAGCCGACCUGGGAGGGGGACCGGGGACAAGAGUACUGAGGGACGGCGCAGACGCGUACGGUAGGCAGCAGGGGGGAACAUUGCGGAAUGGGCGGAAGCCAGAGACAGCAACGCCGCGUGCGGGAUGACGGCUUUCGAGUUGUAAACCGCUUUCGCCGGUGACGAAGCGGGAGUGACGGUAAUGGGUAAAGAAGCACCGGCUAACUACGUG